rnacentral:rRNA from 1 species
GUGGGGAAUAUUGGGCAAUGGGCGCAAGCCUGACCCAGCAACGCCGCGUGAGGGAAGAAGGCUUUCGGGUUGUAAACCUCUGUCCUUGGUGACGAAAAAAAUGACGGUAGCCAAGGAGGAAGCCCCGGCUAACUACGUGCCAGCAGCCGCGGUAAUACGUAGGGGGCGAGCGUUGUCCGGAAUUACUGGGCGUAAAGGGUGCGUAGGUGGCCUUUUAAGUUGGAUGUGAAAUACCCGGGCUUAACUUGGGGGGUGCAUCCAAAACUGGGAGGCUAGAGUGCAGGAGAGGAAAGCGGAAUUCCUAGUGUAGCGGUGAAAUGCGUAGAUAUUAGGAGGAACACCAGUGGCGAAGGCGGCUUACUGGACAGAGACUGACGCUGAGGCGCGAAAGCGUGGGGAGCGAACAGGAUUAGAUACCCUGGUAGUCC